CACUGUAGGAAGCAGCAUCCAUAUCCUCAACAGGACGGAGCUUGGGUAAGUUGCCCGUCGGGAUGAGCGAAUCUGACAAUUUUGGUCUCUUCCAGUCUUUCACAUCAGCUUGCGAUUUUCUUUUUUAAAAACCAGAAUAUCAGUGAACUUCUUCCAAUGUGCUUAUUUUGGAAUCAUUUCUCCUUUCUGUAAUGCAUUUCUAAUGCUAUUUUCAUGUAUAUAGGCAUUUUUACACAUGCUGUAUUCUAGUACAGUGGAAACUCAGAAGCCGAAAGCCUUUGAACUCAAACUUUUAGGCUCCUGAAUGAUCAAAAAACGGAAGUGAUUGUUCUGGUUUUCAAAUGAUUUUCGGAAGCCAAAUGUCUGGCACGGCUUCAGUGGUUUCCGAUUGGCUGGAGCAUGCUCCUGCAGCCAAUUGGAAGCUGUGCCUUGGUUUUCGAACUGUUCCGGGAGUCGAACGGACUCCCAGAAUGGAUUGGAUUUGGAAACCAAGGUUGGACUGUAUUGCAUCGUUCUACACAUUCCGUGGCUGUCGAAUUGCACUGCCCACCAUGUCUGUUCUGACAAUGUGGCUGCUGGUUCGCACUUUGAGGAACUGAAACCAGAUUUUAAGGAAGCACAGCCUUUGAAGAAAUGGGAUACUACCCGCCUUCCUUAGAUGCUAAAACUGAUGGUGAUUUGUCCCAUGAAAAUUUCCUCAAUUUCCUGGAAGUAAACUGACAUGUGACAUACAACAACUCUACAUGCCUGUUCUAAAGGUGGAGCGAAACUAUAUCCUAGCAGUGACCACUGACAAGGCCUGGGAUGCUGCAUUGUUCAUUCGACCAGUCCAUAUAUGGGUAAAUGGUUCAUCUUUCUUCCUGCCUUUCCAUGCCCUGCCCUAGCCCAGCUCUAUAUAAGAAUGAGCCCAGCAGCCUGAGACACAGUUGUUCUGUGUAUGACUGCAUUCCCAAGGCAGUUUAUUCCAUUUUCCUGACCAUUUGCUAACUAUUAACUUGUACGUUGUUGCCCUUCAUUGGCUCCAAUGGAGGGGGAGAAUUAGUUACACCAUUUGCAGGCAGGUGCUGAUGAUGUCCCGCCCCUGGGGCCUCUUGCAUGUAUCAAUAAGACUGGAUCAAGUAAAUCCAAAGCAAUCUCUGUCCUUCCUUUGCCUGUUUCUGGGGCUACCACCAGGGAAUUACCUUUUGCUCCCUGAGCUCCCUGUUCCCUUCUGCCAACAAAGAUCUUCUCUUCCAGAAUAGAGUGUCAGGGACUGGGCAAAGGAGGAGGAGGGGUGGAGACCACCUUCCCAUCCUGUCCCUUCCAGGGAGGAGGAGGAGGAGGGAGACAAUAUAGAUUUCCAAUAGUGGUUUGUGGGAGGUCAGAGCUCCGAGCCAGAGGGGGAAAGUUGGGAAAUAAUGGGAGAAGAGGAGCAGGCAGAGCCAGAGCAGUAGCUGGCUGACACGUUGUCAUUAGACAGCAGUCCAGAUCCACCACCUCCCAGAACCAGGCAGGCCUUAAAAGUGGGAGAACAAAGAGCUCGAAGGACAGAGGACACUUAGUGGCACCUGUAGAGAAGAAGAUGAUGAUGAUGAAUGAGGAAGUGGGAGAGAAGGAGGUGGAGAUUCAUUCAGGACAACUCCAUUAUCCAAGAGGCUCUCUCUGUAAAGUUUGAAAUAAAAAAGGACUGUAAGAAACUUUUCCUUGCCUUUAUACUUUUCUGGGCAACUAGCUGGGAGCCACUGACAGCAGCCUGACAUAGAGGCACCUCCACUCCUUCUUAACUUUCUUAAGGCAGCCCACCAACCUGAGGGUUAUUACAGUGGAACCUCAGCUUACAUACGCUUCAAGUUACAUACGCUUCAGGUUACAGACUCCGCUAACCCAGAAAUCGUGCUUCAGGUUAAGAACUUUGCUUCAGGAUGAGAACAGAAAUUGUGCUCUGGCGGUGCAGCGGCAGUAGGAGGCCCCAUUAGCUAAAGUGGUGCUUCAGGUUAAGAACGGUUUCAGGUUAAGAACAGACCUCCGGAACGAAUUAGGUACUUAACCCGAGGUACCACUGUAUUGUUCUUCCCAUAAAACAAAAGAGGGACAAGAGCAACUGAUUAACAACUAAAAGGCUUUCCAUAAAUGUUAAUACUGCUUUAGUCUAGAACAUCGGAGCCAACUGCUAGGAGCUGAGGCCCCUUCACUCCCCAUAAAAUAUUUGAAGGGGCCAGCCCUCCCCCAGUUGAUGGGCACUGCCAUUCAAAUGGUGUCUGUGUGCUGCGUCUUGUGAUCAAUUAUGGGAGCGGGGCUUACUUGCCUCAAUAUUUUAUUCAAGUUAGCAUCCCUGGUCUAGAAACAGUGGAGGCAGGUAUGCUAGGACGAAUGGGGCACAGCCCCACAAAGCAAGACCUGCCCUCAGAAAGUCCCAGUGUUGUGUGUUCUUUCUUACAUCUGUUCCUUCCUUCUACCUGUUGUCCCUGGAGGGGAAAGAGAACAAAACCAGAAUUGCUUGGCUCUGCCUGUCAUUGACUCUGCCGCCACUUACCAUUGGUUUUACUGCCGUCUGCCCUACAAAUCCUACCAGUCCCAAUGGACACCAGCCUCCACUGGUCCAGAAUCCAGGAUCUGUGAUUCCUCAACAAUGGCAAACUCUUUAGGUUCUCCCUUCUUUCCCUAACCUUCUCGUCUUUCUCCAUUCUUUUCCUUCUCUUCUCAUUUUUCAGAGAUUCACAUGAAGGAGAAUUGUGAUGUUAAGAGUAUAAAAUACUAUUUUAUUUCUUCCUGCCAUCACCACAUGGACGAAAUGGCAAUCAGUGGGGAUAGGUUUUGACCUUCCAUAAAAGGUCAACCAGAAGAUGGAACAUGGUCAGCACUAGGUGCCUCUGCACACAAACCUUAUUUGACUCCAUGAUACUUCACCAAUCGCCAACUUUAAGUUUUGGGUUCUCUCUUCUUUCUCUAAUCUUCCCAUUUAUGAUUUUAAGAACAGAAAAUACCGAUUUACUUCUUCCUGCUAUCACCACAUUGACAAUGCCAAUAAGUAAGGAUAAGUUUUUAAUUUGCUGCACAUUUCCUUCCACUGAAGGUCAACCAGAAGAUGGGGGUUGUCACCUACCUUUGCCUUCUUGGUUUCCUGGUCUCCUAUUCAUUCCCAGCAGGUGAGUGCUUUAACAAUUAUCUGGGAAUUCCCCAGAAAUUUUAAUUGGGGUUAAGCAUUUAUAAAAACAAAACUACUUGUCAGAUUUCCAGGUGAUGGUAACCCAGCUAAGGCUGUUGGAAUAAAUAACCAGGCAAUGGAAGCAGGUCCAUUAGGGUGAAUAGGAAACUUCCCUACCAACCUCAGUCUGCUCUGAACCACUCCUCAUAUUCAUAUUGACAACCAGUCAGGGAGUGGCGCUGCCUGUCAUGGACUCUGGAUCCACUUACUGUUUGCCUCCCUGCUUUCUGUCCCAAUUUCAUAUUGGUGCCAUGGGGUACCAGUCACCAAUGGAAGCAGGAAUGUUUAAAUUAGGUCUGCAUUCAUUAAUCUUAAAAUUAUCUGUGCAAAUUUGUAGGUGAAGUAGGAUUCCACAUUGAAAAUUGCAUUCUAACAGCUUUUGUCCCCCUCCCCCAUCUUUUUCUUCUUUUACUCCUCUCUCCAUACAGUAAAGGCCAGAUCCUGUCCCAGGAAUUGGCUGAAAGCCCUGGGCAGCUGCUAUGCAUAUUUUGACUCUCAGAAAACUUGGUCUGAAGCUGAGGUAAGAAGCUGUUUCUCACCAACCAAGCUGUCACAUCAGGUGCUGUCAUGGGUUUCAGAUGACAUUUUUGUGAGGAGGGCUAUCAGUGUGAGCUGUUGGGAGACAAGACCUGGCAGCAUCUUGGUAUAAUCAAAAGAGAGUUGCUCACCCAUUGUGUUCAAUUAACCUGUUUCCACAGGAGCCAAGAAAGCUUAAUUAACAGUCAGGAGAGAUGGCCUGGCAAGAAGGUACCAUCUCACAAGUGAAAAGAUACAAGCUAUCUCUGCCCCUUUGUCCCUCCAGCUUCCAUGUGAGCAGGAGGGACCUCAGGGCUCACUCAGCUGGGGGGGGGGGGAGUGGAGCCUUCCCACCCCCAAGCCAAGAACCGCAAACAAGCUGUGUCAUCCUCAGCUCUGCAGGGUGUUGGGAUGAAAGUGCCUCAUCUCUUGCAAUGAGAGCUGUGGCCGUUUCACCCCAUGCCUUGAGGGCUGGGGCCAAUACAGAUUGUUGUUUCAACAUCAUGGUGUAUCGCCAGAUUGUGAUGUUUGGCUGGUGAUACAUCAUGGUGUUGAAAACCUGACAUCACCCAGCUAUAUACAGUUAAGAACAACUAUUUCAAACAUUAAGAUAAUAGUUAAAUUCAAGGAUAAGAUACAAAACCAGAUUAAAACACAGGUCAACAUUCCACAUGCCUGCAUAAAGGUAAAGGGACCCCCGACCAGUAGGUCCAGUCGUGACCGACUCUGGGGUUGCGCGCUCAUCUCGCUCUAUAGGCCGAGGGAGCCGGCGUUUGUCUGCAGACAGCCUCCGGGUCAUGUGGCCAGCAUGACUAAGCGCUUCUGGCGAACCAGAGCAGCGCACGGAAACGCCGUUUACCUUCCCGCCGGAGCAGUCCCUAUUUAUCUACAUGCACUUUGACGGGCUUUCGAACUGCUAGGUUGGCAGGAGCAGGGACCAAGCAACUGGAACUCACCCCGUUGCGGGGAUUCGAACCGCUGACCUUCUGAUCGGCAAGUCCUAGGCUCUGUGGUUUAACCCACAGCGCCACCCGCUUCUGAAAAGAGUGCAGCCAAAUCAUGACUAUGAGCAUUCUUCCUGCAUUCAUCCUAGUUUUUGUGUAUGAGCUUCAAGGUGGUUUUCUUGCACCAAGAUUGAGUGCUUGAAGCACCUUUAACUGCACUCGUGUGCAGCAGGUCCAGCAGGUUUCUUUAGUUUCCCAGCAGGUCCAGAGGAUGGAGAAAGGGGCCUGGCUCCACUCACAGCAUUUUCUUCACCCCUUUUUCUCUCUUCCUUCCUCAGCUGCUUUAGUUCCCAUUUGAAAAACUUCCAACUCUCCACCACUGGUGUUUUAUGAUUUUUAAAUAAUUGUUAUUACUUAUUUGACAAGUUGUGAGCCACUCUGGGAAAGCUUUGUGGGAAAGAGUGUGUGUGUGUGUGUGUGUGUGUGUGUGUGUGUGUGUGUUAGCAAUAGUGGUGGAGCUUAUUUACUUGCUUGGCUAUUCUCAGAAUGAGUGCCUGAGCUAUGGCUGUGGGACCCAUCUUGCCUCCAUCCUCAAUGAGAAAGAGUCAGAUGUGGUGGCCUAUUACAUCUAUGCAAACCAGAAAAAUGCAAGCCAGGUCUGGAUUGGGCUGCAUGAUCCCACUGAGGUGAGUUGCCUUUACUUUCUCAAUUUCAGGCCAUUGUCACUGAGUAACGGCUUCUUAGCAUCACCAUUCCAUCCUUACCCGAAUCGUCUCCCCAGAUGACUCCAAUAUGUGACUUUUCCACAAUUUUCUAAUAGAAUCCUCCUCUAAUAUUGCUGUGGAAGUGGGGAGAUGAUUAACAUAUUCAAUCCUCCUGGCAAACUGGGAAUAAUAUCCCCUCACUCACCCAAGUUUAGGAUGUUCCACCAUUCUCCAGCAGAGAGAAUGUUCUUUGAGGAAAAUAAGUGGCUCACGUAAAUGUAAACUAAGCUUUGAAUAAUAAAGAAAACUGUAACAAAAUAACAAAAUAAGAGAAACUAAAUACAACAACAUGAGGCUAGUCUGAGGCAAGAAGCGAGAAGAUGCAGUUGGUCCCUCUUAACUGAUAUUCUUAACGGAACACAGACACUGAAGGGAGGGGCUCCGGACUUGUGUCCGGAGCAAAACACACAAGUCCCGCCCACCAGAUACCAAGCACUCUACUAUUCAAAUUAGGUCCCAGUGCUUUUUCCUACAAAUACAAUCGUACCUUGGUUCUUGAACACCUUGUGACUCAAACGUUUUGGCUUCUAAACACCGUAAACCCGGAAGUGAGUUUUCCAGUUUGUAAACGUUCUUUGAAACCCUAACGUCUGAUGUGACUUCCAUAGCUUCUGAUUGAGUGCAGGAAGCUCCUGCAGCCUAUUGGAAGCCACACUUUGGUUUUUGAACGUUUUCGGAAGUUGAACGGGCUUCCGGAAAGGAUUCCAUUAGAGAACCAAGGUACAACUGUAUCUCCAUCAUAACUUGUAAUAGCUUCAUAACUGGCCAACUCUCCACGUGAUCUUUGCAUUGGCCUCCUCGUUUCAAAUGAAUGUAUGAUCUGUUCUAUCACAUUGCUGCAGAAAGGACAUUGGAGAUGGUUGGAUGACGAGAUCUACAAUUACAAACGCUGGGAUUCUCAUCGCCCAGACAACUACAAGAAUGAAGAAUAUUGUGUGCAUCUGCUAAAGGAUGCAGGUAAGCAAGCAAUUUGUAGGGACUGAUAAAAAAAAGGUUUCAUGCCUAUCACUCCAUCAGUUUCAAGUAUUUUAAAGGGUAGUAUCUGACUUUAAUAAUCAAAAUGAUCAAACUCAAUAUACUUUGGAUAGUCAUUGCUAUUGAUGGUCCAUUCAUUUGAAAGGUUUACUCUGGAUAUUAGUUGAGUGAAUACAGUGGCAGAGCUUCAUGCUCUGGCACCAGGGGGGGCGGAGAGCAGGUGGGGCAGGGGCUGGUGCACAUCCUGGGGGCAGGGGGCACCGCUUGCGGGGCUGGGGCGCCCAGCACUGGUGGGGGGAAGCCACGAUGGCACCCUGCCCGGAUCGCCCUGCCAGGGGCAGGACACUCCCCUCUCACUCCUCUUCCUCUGCCAGUGAGUGGAUACACUCUCAGCCUGGUGCUUCUCUGUACUAAGGUUCACAAGUCAAUAUCUCUGGAGAUCUGACCAGAAGUGGUCCAACUUAUUGAUCCUUUAAGGACACUUCCAAUCAUACCAUGAAGCAGAAUCUUUUUCUGCAGUCAACCUUCAUUCUUCGGUUGCAUGUGAUCACAUAUUUUUUUCAGAAAACAGCGGUUGCCAAACUAAGGUCUGGGUUAUGCCAUCUUAUAUUCUAUCAUGUUUCUUAACAAAAUGAUUAGGCUCAAACAGCAUUAUUAUUAUUAUUAUUAUUAUUAUUAUUAUUAUUAUUAUUUAUACCCCACUCAUCUGACUGGGUUUCCUCAGCAACUCUGGGUGGCUCCCAACAGAAUAUUAAAAGCACAAUAUAACAUAUAAGACUUUGAAGCCAGGUGAUCAGUGAGUGACCUUCAUAUGUUUCGUUAGUUCUGGGUCACAGCCCUGCUGUGAGUCCUGAAAAGUCCAGACUCACUGGAACAAACUCUGGGGUUGGGGCAAAUGUUGAAAAUGCUUUUAAAUGCUUUUAAAUUUUUAAUUUUUAAUCUGUGGUGUUUAAAAUUUGGGUUUUUUGUUUUGUUUUUGCUCUGUCGGGGGGGGGAAUAAACGUUUAGUUGGGCCUGGGGAUUAGUUUAACUUUAGUAUAAUUAUAAAUUGUUUGUUGUUGUUGUUGUUGUUGCUUUCUACUGCUUUAUUGGAUUCAUUGUAUAGUUUGUAUUCUGUUCUGAAGGGGAGAGGGUCAGGGCUGUCUGGGAGUGGGCCCCAGUCAACAGAAUGGCUGGGGUGCACUUGGACACCUGAUCUCAGUGAUCAUGGGUAGGAGGAGGAGUUACGCUAAGACCAGACCAUGUCAUUAACGAGGAGGCAGGUUUAGUUGUUGUUUGAAGACUAUCCCUGCCUCUGGGUCUGGUCUUGACCACAAGGAUACUGGAUUCAACAAGGGAGACCCACAUUACCUGAAGGUGCUGCUGUGCAGUGCCAGGUCAAUGAUUCACAAGACCACUGAGAUACACGACAGGAUGGAGGACUUGACCUGGCAUAUGUAACAGAGACUUGACUGGAUGAAGAAGAUGGGCCUGUCCUUGCCACUGCUUGUCUACCAGGUUUCUCUUACACACAGCAACCCAGCUCAUAUGGGCGGGGAGGCGAGGUUGCAGUGAGUUUUAGGAAGUCAAUAGCUUGCACCAGGCAUCCUAUUGGGAAGACCCAGUUUUCUGAGUGUGUGUUCUGGAAGUUGGACAACAGGGGCAGUACAGGAUUCCUUUUGGUGUACUGACCUUCCCACUCUAUCAAGGGUUCCCUGCCUGAGCUGCUUCAGGUCGUGGCGGAUGUUCUCCUGGAGACACCUAGUUUGGUUUUCCUAGGGGAUUUAACAUUCAUGCUGACACGACCUUACAAGACGCUGCUUGGGACUUCGUGGGAAAGCAUGACCUCCAUGGGGAUGUCCCUGAAUGAAUUUCGCCCAACUCAUUGUUGCGGACAUGCCUUAGACCUGGAGUUCACCUCUAUGGAUGUGGGUGAUCUGACACUAAGUAAAAGCGCAACAAAAGAAGUGCCAUGGUCAGAUCACUUCCUGGUGCCGCAACCCUUUCCCUCUGCAGGGAGGUGGGACUGAUUUGGACCCCCCCCCCACUUAAUGGAUUCAAAUGGUUUCCAGAGUGUAGUAGGGGAUGUUUUAUCUCAUGUUGAUGGCCUUUCAGCUGAUUCCCCUCUGGCCCGCUGGAAUGCAGAGUUAACCAGAGCUAUCGACUGUCUGGCUCCAAAGCGCUCUCUCCAACUGCAUGGAGCCUGGCAGCCUCAUGGUUUUCCCCAGAGCUGAGGGUGAUGAAACAAUCACUGAGGUGGCAAUAGCGCCAGUGGUGGAAAUCAGACCAGAAACGGAUUAGAGCUCAACGUUGAGCCUACCAAGUGGCAAUAGCGACGGUGAAGAGGUCCUUCUUCACUGCCUCUAUUGCAUCUGCAGAAAACAGCAGCAGGAGACUCUUUCAGGUGGUUCACAAUCUUAACAGAACCACCUUCACCAUUGGGGCCUGGUAACAACCCCAAGAUCUCCUGCAGUGAUUUUGCAACUUUUUUGCAGGCAAAGCCGCUCAGAUUCAGAAAGAGGUAGACGCCAUCAUGGGAGCAGGGCUGGGGCAGGAGAGUGCUAGAGUCCUGUCUAUUCCAGUUGCAUGGGAUCAGUUCCAAUCUGUUACCUCCGAGGAUGUGGACAGGCUGCUUGGAUGAGUGAAACUGACCACCUGUCUCCUCGAUCCUUGCCCAUCCUGGCUCAUAAAAGUGAGCUGGGAAGGGCAAGGUGAUGGGCUCCGGGGGGAUAGUGAAUGCUUUCCUCUGUGAGCAAGCUUUGCCGGAACCGCUGAAAGAGGCAGUUAUUAAAUCGCGUCUUUAAAAACAUCAUUGGACAUGGCCAGUAUGGACAACUAUCACCCAGUCUCAAAUCUUCCAUUCUUGGGCAAAGUGACUGAGCAGGUGGUUGCUGAACAACUCCAAGCACGCCUGGAGGAUGCGGACCAUUUGGAUCCCUUCCAAUUGGGAUUCAGGCCUCAUCAUGGGACUGAAACUGCCUUGGUCACGCUGGUCAAUGAUCUCUGGUGGACUAGGGACAAAGGUGAAAGCUGUUUCCUAGUUCUGCUGGAUCUCUCAGCAGCCUUUGAUACCAUCAACCAUGACAUCCUUCUGGACUGUCUAGAGGCGCUAGGAGCUGGGGGCACUGUUAUAUAGUGGUUCUGCUCCUUCCUCCUGGGCCAUGUUCAGAAAGUGGUGGUGGGGGGUGAGUGUUCAGACCCCUGGGCUCUCACUUGUUGGGUGCCUCAGGGUUCUGUCCUCUCCCCCAUGCUUUUCAACAUCUACAUGCAGCCGCUGGGAGAGAUCAUCAGCGGGUUUGGGCUGGGUGUUCAUCGGUAUGCGGAUGAUGCCCAGCUCUACCUCUCUUUCAAAUCAGAACCAGUGAAGGCGGUGAAGGUCCUUUUUGAGUGUCUGGAGGCAGUUGGAGGAUGGAUGGCAGCUAACAGAUUGAGGCUGAAUCCUGACAAGACAGAAGUACUGUUUUGGGGGGAUGGCAGGUGUGGAGGACUCUCUGGUUCUGAAUGGGGUAACUGUGCACCUGAAGGACCAGAUGUGCAGCCUGGGACUCAUUUUAGACUCACAGCUGUCCAUGGAGGCACAGGCCAAUUCUGUGUUCAGGGCAGCUGCCUACCAGCUCCAUCUGCUAUGCAGGCUGAGACCCUACCUGCCUGCAGACUGUCUCGCCAGAGUGGUGCAUGCUCUAGUUAUCUCCCGCUUGGACUACUGCAAUGCGCUCUGUGUGAGGCUACCUUUGAAGGUGACUACAACUAAUGCAGAAUGCGGCAGCUAGACUGGUGACUGGGAGUGGCUGCAGAGACCAUAUAACACCAGUCCUGAAAGACCUACAUUGGCUCCCACUACGUUUCUGAGCACAAUUCAAAGUGUUGGUGCUGAUCUUGAAAGCCCUCAAUGGACUCAGCCCAGUAUACCUGAAGGAGUGUCUCCACCCCCAUCGUUCAACCUGGGCACAGAGGUCCAGCUCUGAGGGCCUUCUGGUGGUUCCCUCACUAUUAUUAAAGUCUGAAUCCAUUUUAUUCCCCCCACCCGUUGGGGAAAGGAAUAAUAGGCAAUAAGAAGUAACUUUCCUUAUUUCUUGAAUUAUAAUUUUUGUUUUGAAUUUCAGGUUUUAAGAAGUGGAAUGAUGAAAAAUGCAACAACAAGUACGCCUUCAUCUGCAAGCAAUAACUCUAAAGGAGACUUCCCUUCUCCACUGUGUUGGCUGGGAAGCUGCCUUGACAUUAUAUGUAUUUCUGCUCUCUCUCAUCACUUUCAAAAUAGCCAUUGCUAUAGAGAUGCCUCUUCAAUUUCCCCUUCCCUUUGAAAUUUUCUUGGACCUGCAGCAGAGCAUCAGCUUAAUAAAUUCUCUUCCAU